GGGCAACACUGUUUAAAAAUGAUACAUAAACUGGGCAGAAACAAUGCACUCAGUUCUUCAAACCAGGGAGGAUACCAUUAAUACACAUGAGAAGGAAUCUCUUGAUAACCAUUGGUCUUACCCCUUAUAAGAGAUUGUGGCUCAUCGUUAAAAGACAAAGAAAAGCUUAUUUAGCAAAGAGAUUGUUCUUUGUUAAGAGCAAAAUGGCGAAGUUUAUUUUUUAAUUUGAAGGAAGAGACUGAAGAGUUCCUGCAAACCUUACCAUUUGAGCUGGCAUCAGAGUUGUCACAGCAGAAGUAGAAAGAAUCCAGCACUUGUGUCCCAGGGAACAAGCUUCUAGAAUUUUGGUCAUUAUGAGUGUGAUUCACUUGGUGAAUCAGUGGCUUUCUGUGAUUUCAAAUAAUGAUAACAAGCAUGGGAGGAAGGCAGCAGCAUUGUUCAGAGCAAUCAGUCUGUCAUUUGGGUGCUCAACUGAAUGAGGAGAAAACACAUCAAACCUGGAGAGUGGACAGCCAAGCACAUGUUGCUAUUGCCAUUCUUUCUCCUCUGUGGAUGUGGGAUUGAGGAAGGUAAAUUCCUGGAAUUGCUUCAGUUCACAAAGCAGUUUUCUAUUCAGAUUCUAUUCGAUCCAGUCAUCUUGCUCAGGAUUCCUAUAGUGGAAGGAUAAUUUACCAGCUGUCCUUUCUAAUCUCUCAUCUCCAAGUAUAGGUUUUUCACUAUAAACACUGGUCUCUUUCCAAUGCAUAGGUAAGAUUACGUUAUUUUCCUCCUGAUAACCAUUUUAUUUUCCCUAACAUCUCCAGAAUAAAUUACCUAUAUAGUAAACUCUUUGGCA
rnacentral:lncRNA from 1 species